rnacentral:rRNA from 1 species
UACGUAGGUGGCAAGCGUUGUCCGGAUUUACUGGGCGUAAAGGGCGUGCAGGCGGUCUGUUAAGUGCAGGGUGAAAGCUCCCGGCUCAACUGGGAGAGGUCCUUGCAUACUGGCGGACUCGAGGGGGGUAGAGGAAAGUGGAAUUCCCGGUGUAGUGGUGAUAUGCGUAGAUAUCGGGAGGAACACCUGUGGCGAAGGCGGCUUUCUGGGCCCUACCUGACGCUGAGACGCGAAAGCGUGGGGAGCGAACCGG